AUCUACAGUUGUAACACCCUGAACCAGCCUGCUUGGAAGCUAAACAGGGUUGGGCCUGGUUAGUACUCAGAUAAGAGACUGCCUCGGAUUACCAGGUGCUGUAGGCU
ensembl:rRNA 5S_rRNA 5S ribosomal RNA